GCCCAGAUGGCGGAAUUGGUAGACGCGCUGGUUUCAGGGACCAGUGACCGCAAGGUUGUGCAAGUUCGAUCCUUGUUCUGGGUACAA
rnacentral:tRNA from 1 species